AGAGAGAGACAUGCGCGCAUAUCAAUAAGCGGAGGAAAAGAAACUAACAAGGAUUCCCUUAGUAACGGCGAGUGAAGCGGGAAGAGCUCAAAUUUGAAAUCUUCAAGGUUCUACCUUGACGAAUUGUAGUUUAUAGAAGUGUUUUCUGUUAGUGGAGUGGCAAAAGUUCUUUGGAAUAGGACAUCAUAGAGGGUGAGAAUCCCGUAUUUGGUCAUUCCUCCUAGCGUUGUGAUACACUUUCAACGAGUCGGAUUGUUUGGGAAUGCAGUCCAAAAUGGGUGGUAAAUUUCAUCUAAAGCUAAAUAUUGGCGAGAGACCGAUAGCGAACAAGUACCGUGAGGGAAAGAUGAAAAGAACUUUGAAAAGAGAGUUAAACAGUACGUGAAGUUGUCAAAAGGGAAGCGUUUGACACCAGUGUUGUUUUUCCGAAAAUCAAUUACGAAUGUUUUAGUUUUUGAGGAGUUAUGACUUCAUCGGCUUGCUCCUUUCUUUACUGAAACUUUCUUAAUGCACUUUUCGGUUAACAAGUCAACAUCAAUUUCUUUUGUUGUAAAAGGGUAUGAGGAAGGUGGCUUUCUUUUCGGAGAAAGUGUUUAUAGCCUUGUGCCUCUGCAAUCGGAGAGAUUGAGGUCUGCAGCGCAGAUCCUUCGGGGUUAGAUACGUUUGUGCUAAGUUAUAGCUUUUCAUAGACAACUUGUUGACUAUGUUUAGUCUUGUAGCUUACUCGCUGACGCUAUUUUACCUACGCUUAGGAUGUUGAUAGUCACAGCGUGUAC
rnacentral:rRNA from 1 species